AUUUUGAGUCCAAAGCCUUUGUAAGGUCACUGAACACACUGGUGGGAGAAGAUGAACUGAAAAAACUUUGAACCUCUUCAUAGGCCUGAAAUUCACAAUGAACAACGAAAGGACUUUCUCAGUUAUACAAACAUACAAUUUCUCUGUCACCAUAGCCAGCUAGAAAAAGAUUGCUUGAUGUCUGGAUUAGAUAAUCCAACAACCCAACAUUAACAUAAAUUCCUGACAACUGUCUACCAAGAGACUAACAAAUGGAUGGACCACAAGGAAACAACCUAGUUCUAACCCCAGGAUACAGAUCAUCACUGCUGGGAUGGAAUCAAUAAUCCCCCAGGUGUGCAUCAGCUGCAAUGGUUAUCUUACCAGUAAUGGCUGUGAGAAGCAACUAAUCAUCAGUUUUCAUUUGAUGGAUUUUGGAAAUCUCCAUUCUGAGGCACCCAUGUGGUCAUGAAGUGACAACUGCAUUGGCUUACUGGUUACAGGCACAGGGGCCCAUUCAGACAAGGGGCCCCUAAACCAGAAGACUGAAAGACCCAGAGACUGACCAGACUACCGAAAAAAGAGUAUCGGGCGAAGGAGCAGGAUGCAUCUCUUUGGAAAAACUACAAUUCCAGAUAUCUCCAGACAAUCAACUGUGGAUCAGCAGUGCGGUAAAAAAUUCAAAGUUUGCUCAUGUUUUGUAAGUUUAAUUUAAUUUUAAUGAUUAUUUGCAUAUUUUCUUAAGAACAGUAGAUUCAAGUGAGCAUGUUCUUCACAUUGAAUACAGUAACAGCAGAGGUGGGCGUAGGCCGUAGAUUUACAGGUAUCUGUCCUUUACCUGAGUAUCUAUUUUUCUGAAAACUUUUUGCUUUUACUCUCAUAUUUGAACAAACUAAUCUGUAGUUUCUACUCCUUACAUUAGUGUUAAUGCAUUUGAGGGGAAUCGUUGCUCUUUCGAUUUUUAACCUUCAAGUACUUUACCAGCCCACAGUGUUGACAUUUGACAUCCUGGGAAUGAGACUCAACACCAAGUCCUACAGAUUUGACCUUUAAAGGUGCAAUACGUAACAGGUGGUCACCCUGAAUUCAUACUCUCAACACACUGGUGCAGCAUAUUACCAGAAUAACUGCUAAUUGCUCCAAACUGUAUUCCCUUUAUCCAUCCAUGUCUUUACCUACUGUUAGCUCCUUAGCUGAAGUAGCCAUACAGCUAGCCAGACUACUAGGCAUCUUGUCCUCACAUUCUUUUCAAUAAUUUUGGUUAAUUUUGAAAUGUUUUACUAAAAUUCUUACAUAUUGCACUUUUAAAGUCUUUGGAGUAUAUUAAUAUGAUGUGAAGUUCAAUUAGCUUUGCACACAAAAACCACCUUCAGAGUGAGACGUUUUACUUUUAUACCUCAAGUACAGAUCCUGUAUUUCCUUUUAACUGACUAAAGAAGUUAUUCUAUUUUUAGUCCUUCGGUGUCUUUUUAUACACAAGUAUCUGUACUUCUUGUUGAGUAAAACCUCUGAAUGAUA